rnacentral:lncRNA from 1 species
GCUUGCUACUUGGCGUGUUGUUGUUGUGUGUACUUGCUAUGUGAACUACUUAUGACUGUGCAGUUUGUAUAAUGUGUGCGACCAAUUUGUGUCUGACCAAUGUACUGACUGAUAACCUCUGACUGGUUGAUGAUUUUGACGUACGAUAACCUCUGACUGGUUGACUGGAAAAAUACAGACAAUUCGAAAUAUAUAACUUUAUUUGUUGAUGGUCGCUUUGCAAGUGAUAAUAUAUUAUACAUUACACAAUAGACAUGAUAGAAUGAUAUAUAAUAUAAAACACAACAUAAUGACAUUGGAAUAGCAAUCACACAAUUCUUUACACGGAUACAAAUAAAAUACUGAAACAUUGUAUCGGGCCAAGCAGAAGUCACAUUUAAUCUGAAUAAUGAUACGACAUCAUUAAUGACUGAUUUAUGAAAUAGAAUGGGGAAACUAGCAGAAUAUUGAAUGACGGGGGAAACUAACUUGAAACAUAAUAAAAGAAUGACUAAAGUCAUUUGCCUUACUUACUAAAACAGAUCUCAAUAUAUGAUAGCUCAUUUAAUACCAAAUAUAGAUUUUGACUAUAAGUUUCAAUGCUCAAUUUAGACUGACUGUAUUUUGCAUACACACUUUAUAAAACUUGCUUAUCAAAGCUGUAACACGACAGUAGGAAUUGUGACUUAUGAUAACGAAGAAUAAAGACAAUAUAAAACAUUACAAUAAUUAACUAAACGUGCUAUUUACAUAAAAACAGUGGCUUGCUGCAGUUUCAUAUGUUUGACUCGGAUCACCCUCGAUGAGGAGACAUCUCAACCUUUCGACAUGACAAGAAUAUUGAUUGCAUGAUUAUGCUUGAAUUAUGAAUUGAAUUUACCUUCAGAGUCUAUGAUAAACAUGACAUAAGAACUUAAUAAAGAGAAACCCAUGUUGAUUUAAUAUCUGAGUUGACUGAAAACGCUGUUUUCAAAUGGGAGGUAACUCUUUAUUGAACUGCCUAAAAACCUGACUAUACCUUGCAGCAGCGCACUGAUACUUUCAUUAAUAAAAUACAUUGAAUAAAAUAAGAAAACUAACUACGCUAAAAUAAGACAAAUAACUUGUCCUUUUCAUACAUAUAAAAACAAUAAUUACAUAUGUACAUUUAAUAACUGAUACACUUCCUUAGCUGAAGAUUGAAAUCAUU